rnacentral:rRNA from 1 species
UGGUGACUAUAGCAAGGAGGUCACACCUGUUCCCAUGCCGAACACAGAAGUUAAGCUCCUUAAGCAAACACAAAGAAAGAUGGCUUGGCGAAGUGAAAACGUUUGAAUC